GUGUGAUAUGAAAGGAGAGAGGGUUAGCACUCACCUUGAUAAGAGUGGGAGAGUUGUAGUGGCCUUUUCAACACACAUAUGGUUAAGGCAUUGCCACUUACUCAUGGCACCUAAUCACUUUUG
ensembl:snRNA